UACGGGGGGGGCAAGCGUUGUUCGGAAUUACUGGGCGUAAAGGCUCGUAGGUGGCCAACUAAGUCAGACGUGAAAUCCCUCGGCUUAACCGGGGAACUGCGUCUGAUACUGGAUGGCUUGAGUUCGGGAGAGGAUGCGGAAUUCCAGGUGUAGCGGUGAAAUGCGUAGAUAUCUGGAGGAAUACCGGUGGCGAAGGCGGCAUCCUGGACCAUUACUGACGCUGAGGCGCGAAAGCUAGGGGAGCAAACGGG
rnacentral:rRNA from 1 species